rnacentral:rRNA from 1 species
AGUAACGCGUGAGUAACCUGCCUUACACAAGGGGAUAGCCGUUGGAAACGACGAAUAAUACCCUAUGAAACUAUCACUUCGCAUGAAGCGAUAGUCAAAGUGUUGGCGGUGUAAGAUGGACUUGCGUCUGAUUAGCUAGUUGGUGAGAAAAGAGCCCACCAAGGCAACGAUCAGUAGCCGGCUUGAGAGAGUGUACGGCCACAUUGGGACUGAGACACGGCCCAG